rnacentral:rRNA from 1 species
CGAUCAGAUACCGCCCUAGUUCUGACCGUAAACGAUGCCAACUAGCGAUCCGCCAGUCGACUCAUCGCUCUGGUGGGGAGCUUCCCGGAAACGAAAGUCUUCCGGUUCCGGGGGAAGUAUGGUUGCAAAGCUGAAACUUAAAGGAAUUGACGGAAGGGCACCACCAGGAGUGGAGCCUGCGGCUUAAUUUGACUCAACACGGGGAAACUCACCCGGCCCGGACACCGUAAGGAUUGACAGAUUGAUAGCUUUUUCAUGAUUCGGUGGAUGGUGGUGCAUGGCCGUUCUUAGUUCGUGGAGCGAUUUGUCUGGUUUAUUCCGAUAACGAGCGAGACUCUGGCCUACUAAAUAGUUGACGCAUUGCCACUGUGCGCACAACUUCUUAGAGGGAUUUUCGGUGUUUUCAACCGCACGAAAUUGAGCAAUAACAGGUCUGUGAUGCCCUUAGAUGUCCGGGGCUGCACGCGCGCUACACUGGCAAACGCAACGUGCCUGUCCUGCCCGGAAAGGAGCGGGUAAACCCCUGAAAUUUUGCCGUGAUUGGGAUCGGACAUUGCAACUAUUGUCCGUGAACGAGGAAUUCCUUGUAGGGGCGAGUCAUCAACUCGUCCUGAAUACGUCCCUGCCCUUKUA